ensembl:lncRNA
GAAAGAGUUCUGCAGGUGAUUCCUAUGGGUACAGGGGGAGAAAGAGUUAUGCAGGUGAUUCCUAUGGGUACGGGGGAGAAAGAGUAACGCAGGUGAUUCCUAUGGGUACAGGGGGAGAAAGAGUUCUGCAGGUGAUUCCUACGGGUACGGGGGGGGGAAAGAGUUCUGCAGGUGAUUCCUAUGGGUACAGGGGGAGAAAGAGUUCUGCAGGUGAUUCCUAUGGGUACAGGGGGGGGAAAGAGUUCUGCAGGUGAUUCCUAUGGGUACGGGGGGGGGAGAAAGAGUUCUGCAGGUGAUUCCUAUGGGUACGGGG